CCGCUUGCCGAUCCACCGCUCCGCCCGAUUUUGGCGCCCAGAAAGCAGACGGGGAGACAGAGGAUGCACCGCGGGUGCCGAGUUAAGCCGAAACUGAAAGACCAGAAACCAGCCUGCCCUAGUCAAAGAAAGUUAGGGCCCAACCAGCCUCUCCACAAGAAGCAGGGUAAGGUGGGGCAUUCAUCUCUCUGGACCCUUUUCCCCAGCCUGAGCCAGCCGCCACUUUGGGGAUAGGGAGGAGGUCCCAGGGAAGAACCUGGUUGCCAAAGUCUUGGCCAGUUGGUGAAAAGAUGGGUCUCCUGGGGAUACCCAAGCCCAAGGUCUACACUGUCCCAAGUCAUUCCCAAGAGGAAGCUGAAGGUCCGUCGCAGGGAGGAGCCUGCCCAGGUACCUGAAUGUCCUUCCAGCUGGCUGCAGCUGCAGAGAGAAAAAGAAGACAUGAGAAGAUGGAGGUAAUGCUGGAAAUGAAGAAAAAGAUACUUCCUGAGAGAUGCUGGAUGAAGGAUCCAUGACCAGCAGAGCCAGAAUGGGAAGGAAGAAAGAGGAAGGACUGGGAGAGAAAGAUAAGCCCCCAUCCUGACCUCCUAGGACUUCCUGGAUGUGGGCAUUUCAGCUUCCCAAGCCCCUCUAUUUAGGAAGAAAACUCCAGGCUCCACCCAGAUAAAUACAGACUCCUCCUUCCUACCUAAUCCAGGCUCAGGAUGGGAGGCCCAGUCUCCUCUCUCAUGCUGCUCCCCAACGGAAGUGGUAUGGGGUGGGGGCUCUCCCGAGGGGCAUUUUCUCCUCUCAGAACAAGAGCCCUGUGUACGACCCUCUCUGCUGUUUGGAGAAGGCCUCUGGGCCUAAAGCCAAUAAGGACUGAAUUUCCUGGGAUUUCAUCAGCCCCAUCCCAUGAGCUAAUCCCAAACCCAGAGCCAGGAGGAUGUGUCAGCUAGAGAUUUUCAGGACCACAAAGCAGAGCCUGAUAUCUUAAAGGGACCAUUACUUGCUUACACAUCCACACUGUCUUAGAGGGCUGACCCACUCUAAUCAGGCUUCAGCCAUAGGAGCCAAAUAAGCAGGUGCUGAUUUUGCAUGCUUAUUUACAUAGUUAUUCAAAUCUCCCAGCCUCCACUUCCAGACCUGAACUCUGCCUUCAGGCCCUGCCCUCUCUGCUGGGAGCUCCACAGCCCUUGCCCAGCCCUCCUUAGGGCCAAUCCCCAUUGGUCUAUUAUCUGAGCCAUCCUAAACUGAUCCAUGGUCCUUGGUCACUCUUCCUCACUAAGACUGUUCAACAGUCUAUCUGCCCUUUCACCCUAUACCACUGACAACAGCAAGCAAUUCCCAUGCUCUGUUAUUCAAUGGACACCCUGUGCCCUGGAUACUCCUUUUCUUUCCCUAAUUUCUCCCCCGGUCUCAUGCAGCUACCGGGAACCUGGUGAGCCCACCCAAACCAAAGAAAAGAGGGUGAAUUAUAUGCAGCUCAGGGAAGGAUAUUUGGAGGUCUUAGAUCAGAAAUGUUAUGGGGAGGAAUGAUUCAGGAAGCAGGGAGACCCCUGGGGCUACAAAACCAUGGCCUAGACCUUAUUGCUCUUCCCCUAUAGAGGCUUUUGAAGGAUUCUGAGUCCCCCACACUCACCGUUUCCCGAGGUCAAUGGCAGAGGACUGGGAUAAAUUCCCUGCCAACACAAAAGGAGACGAAAAGUGUCUAGCUAAAGCCAGACAAAGGCGCCCAGGGCUUCCUCCCCCACCCGCUUCACCUGGAUCAGGUUCCCAAGCUGCAGGUGCAUGUGACGCCAUUCCUGAGGGCGGGCAGUGGGCAGCAGGGAGAGGGGGCGGGGUCUAAGCAGGGCAGAGCUGAAGAAUUUAGGAGCCAUGGGAACACAGCACCAGGGUUAUCCAGGGGAACAGAGCACCAGGGUCAUGUGGAGACGGUGGCUGGGAGACUGAUGUAUCAGAGGUUUCACCCAGAGCUCCCAAUACUCCAUCUGAGGACAAGGUACAUUGCAGGUAACUGUCCUCCAUCUCUGGUAACAGGGAAGGCUGGAGAACCUCACUAUGUCCUAUGUCCGCUUUCAUUGGUAGGAGUUUCAGAAUGCCAAAAUCCAGAAUUCAGAUUGCUCAUUUGAAUAAAGCCAUUCUGAGGUCAGGCA